GAAGUACAAACUAACCCUGGGGGCUUUUACCGGAGGCACCGCGGGAGACUCUCUUGGUUACCAUAACGACCGACCGUUCACAACCAAAGACCAGGAUAAUGACAUUUAUAACCUUAAUUGUGCCACAAGUUUUAAAGGCGCCUGGUGGUACGGGAGCUGUCACAACGCCAACCUCAACGGUCUCUACCUGAGGGGCUCGCACACGAGCUACGCCGACGGCAUUAUCUGGGAAACCGGAAAAGGCGACUACUACUCCUACAAAAUCACCGAAAUGAAGUUCCGACCCGUGUAACGGGCUCCCUAACCCCAUCCGGGGCUGGAAGACGGGCCCUUUUGCUGUCUUCCGUUAAAUAGAGGGGGAAAUCCACAGGUUCCGCUCUCGCACUGGUGUUAUUUUUCUCUUUUAAUAGCUGGGGGGGGUGGGGAUUCUGUGAAAAAUGUUACAAAAGCUCAAAAUUAUUAUUUUUUCUUCCUUCUUACAAAUAAACUGAGAACGCAAGCAAAAAA